UACUGCAAAUAGCAGGUGGCUUGU
rnacentral:piRNA from 1 species